GCACCCGUAGCUCAACUGGAUAGAGCACCGGUCUUCGGAACCGGGGGUUGGGGGUUCGAAUCCCUCCGGGUGUA
rnacentral:tRNA from 5 species